GACAGAGGAUGCAAGCGUUAUCCGGAAUGAUUGGGCGUAAAGCGUCUGUAGGUGGCUUUUAAGUCCGCCGUCAAAUCCCAGGGCUCAACCCUGGACAGGCGGUGGAAACUACCAAGCUGGAGUACGGUAGGGCAGAGGGAAUUUCCGGUGGAGCGGUGAAAGUGCGUGAGAGAUCGGAAAGAACACCAACGGCGAAAGCACUCUGCUGGGCCGACACUGACACUGAGAGACGAAAGCUAGGGGAGCGAAUGGG
rnacentral:rRNA from 1 species